GGGUUCAAGGGGGUGGUAGAGCAUGAGAAGCUUAAUCUCAGGGUCAUGGGUUUGAGCCCCAUGUUGGGCA